rnacentral:rRNA from 1 species
GUCCACGCCCUAAACGAUGACAACUAGGUGUUGGGGAAGCGAUUCUCUAGUACCGCAGCUAACGCGUGAAGUUGUCCGCCUGGGGAGUACGGUCGCAAGAUUAAAACUCAAAGGAAUUGACGGGGACCCGCACAAGCGGUGGAGCAUGUGGUUUAAUUCGACGCAACGCGAAGAACCUUACCCAGGCUUGAACUGCAGGUGACAUUCUACGAAAGUAGACUUUCCGCAAGGACGCCUGUAGAGGUGCUGCAUGGCUGUCGU